AUGCUACUUCAGUCUCAAACAACUCUCCGGGGAGCUGCAACAUGUCCUGACAAGUGGGUGCAACAGACUCUGAUUGCAAAAGUAGAGAAGAUCUCUCUGGAAGGAAACCUCCCAAUGUUUUCACCACGAGCUGUCAUGAAGAGAGACCUUGUGAAGCUCCACUCCAGCUUAGCUGCUUGCAAGGACAUCCCAGUUUCCAGGCACCAAAGUCUGGUAAAGCAGUCACUCAGCCUUCGGCUCCAGGCAGCCCCCUCAGGGAUGUUCUACUUGCUCUUCCACCCUUGGAGGCCGGGCUACCACUGUGUUCCGAAAACUGAUGAGCAUCCAGCGGGCAGCUCGCAGUCAGCUCCCCAGGCUGAUACUGGUUCCCUGUUCCCAGAAGUUGCAUGGAUCUGGGAGAAAGCCUGUCAGAUGCUGUUAGAGAUCUGA
rnacentral:lncRNA from 1 species